AAGAGACAGCAGUCGCCGCGGUAAUACGUAGGGUGCAAGCGUUAAUCGGAAUUACUGGGCGUAAAGCGUGCGCAGGCGGUUAUAUAAGACAGAUGUGAAAUCCCCGGGCUCAACCUGGGAACUGCAUUUGUGACUGUAUAGCUAGAGUACGGCAGAGGGGGAUGGAAUUCCGCGUGUAGCAGUGAAAUGCGUAGAUAUGCGGAGGAACACCGAUGGCGAAGGCAAUCCCCUGGGCCUGUACUGACGCUCAUGCACGAAAGCGUGGGGAGCAAACAGGAUUAGAUACCCCGGUAGUCCCUGUCUCUUAUAC
rnacentral:rRNA from 1 species